UGGGGAAUCUUGGACAAUGGGGGCAACCCUGAUCCAGCCAUGCCGCGUGAGUGAUGAAGGCCUUAGGGUCGUAAAGCUCUUUCGCCUGUGAAGAUAAUGAGGUAGCAGGUAAAGAAACCCCGGCUAACUCCGUGCCAGCAGCCGCGGUAAUACGGAGGGGGUUAGCGUUGUUCGGAAUUACUGGGCGUAAAGCGCACGUAGGCGGACCAGAAAGUUGGGGGUGAAAUCCCGGGGCUCAACCCCGGAACUGCCUCCAAAACUAUUGGUCUAGAGUUCGAGAGAGGUGAGUGGAAUUCCAAGUGUAGAGAUGAAAUUCGUAGAUAUUUGGAGGAACACCAGUGGCGAAGGCGGCUCACUGGCUCGAUACUGACGCUGAGGUGCGAAAGUGUGGGGAGCAAACAGGAUUAGAUACCCUGGUAGUCCACACCGUAAACGAUGAAUGCCAGUCGUCGGGUAGCAUGCUAUUCGGUGACACACCUAACGGAUUAAGCAUUCCGCCUGGGGAGUACGGUCGC
rnacentral:rRNA from 1 species